GGGUAUCCCUGAAAGCAUACCUCUCUGAGUAUCGUUUCAACACAAACUCGACUGCGUCCUUAAAACAGACGUUAUGUCGGUUAAUGAGUUGUCUCAGCGUCGAAGCGCUGAGUCACUUGAAGCGAAUAUCACUUCUAUAUCAAUUCGACUCAAGUUUCGGCUUGACUAAUUGAUGUUUGAUAAUUGACUUCGGUCAUUUACUAUCACAUCGGUUAGUAGAAUGAUAAAUAGUUGUGAAACACAAGGAACCUUUAAAAGAAAUUUGCUUUCCCACUUUCGAGUGGCGUAGCUGUUCUUUUUCUGAUCUUGAUCUCAGAUGAAGUAAGAGAACCCGCCGAAUUUAAGCAUAUUAUUAAGCGGAGGAAAAGAAACUAACAAGGAUUCCCCUAGUAACGGCGAGUGAAGCGGGAAGAGCUCAAAGUUAAAAUCGGGGUACCUAGCGGUGCUUCCGAAUUGUAAUCUAGAGACACUUUUUCAGCUUCGACCCGGGUAUAAAUCUUUUGAAACAAGGUGUCAUAGAGGGUGAGAAUCCCGUCUUUGACCCGGAGUUCGGGGCGUACGAA
rnacentral:rRNA from 1 species